CAAGAAGUAGCAACGCAUCCAGAAUGCACAUUGAUUGGCCGGGCUUCGCCAUGAGAAGUAGCAACAGUAAAUAGGAAAAUGAAUGAACACAAUGGGUUAACAAACCAAUGACAGGACGGAGCAGAGACAGGACCGUAAACAACAAAAAGGGGCGUUGAGAACUGGGAAUAAUAGCAAGCAGUGCUCACUACGCUGGGAACCUCGACUCAAAACGAGAGGGGGAAUUUGUGAUGUCGUAUACGGCCUCUCAUUGAAUAUACAGAUGUUACAAAGUAAAACAAAGCUGGGAAGGAAGUAGCAGAUCACUGGUGCCUCUGUUUCAUCUCCAAACUUCCACCUUCUUUUUAAACUCUGAGAAGAAAAGAACUUGAUGCUUCAGCACAGAGAGUCAGAGGUGAAAGUACAUAUUCUCCAUGAUUUCGGUCUUUUGCUAGCUGGAACGUCAAAUCUUUGAUGUCCUCCAUCUCGAAACGGCUCUUCACCCAGAUACAACCUUCUAAUAUUAAGGUCACGAUAUGACAUUUCAUUUGUUUUAUCUACUUUCAUUUUUUUCUUUGUCAUUCUCUGUCUAGACUCGAUCUCUGCAGAGCAUAUAAAAUCAGACAGUGAGAUAGACAGAACGGAAGACAGGAAUCAGUACCAUUUCUGGCCAUUAUGAAUAUAUAGAAACUUCGUAUGGAUUGGGUAAUGCCCCCUCAGCAUCUCAGGUAGAGCUGGGUUUGUCAUGGAUGACCAAAAAUGUUGUAGUCAUGGCAUGGCCAUGUAAAGGACCUCCAACA